UUAAAUAUAAUUUUUAAAGUUUCUUAGUUUUUUAACUAAAAUAGUUUGGCAGCGAGCGAAUCUUAUUAGGGGAAGGUGUGUUGUAAAGGAUGAUCCGCCUAUUAAUUUACUUUUAUUAUGUUGGUGUAUAUCUGGUUUAAUAUUAUUGCUCUAAUAGCUUAAUUUGUGUAUAAGUAUUUAAGCCAAGUCUAUGUGCUGCUUGUAAAAGAUUUCAUGCGUUACAUUUAUAAAUUUAUUCUUGUAAAUUGGGUUUUGUUUAUAUUGAGGACUUAAAAGUAAUGUAGAAUUAGUUUGUCUAUGUGAAAAGGGUUUAGCUUGGGUACAACACACCGCCCGUCCCCCCUCGGUA
rnacentral:rRNA from 1 species